GAACAGCUCAGCUGGUCAGAGCCUGGCGCUGAAAACGUCAAGGUGGCAGGUUCGAUCCCUGCAGGGGACG